UAAGGUUACUUGUUUUAUAGUUUUAUGAAAUGACCCCUUGAUUCAGGCUUUUGAUACAUUAAGAUUUUAUAACGCACGAUAUGUGCAAGGAGGUUUCAUAUUAUGAAACAAGGUACUGUUAAAUGGUUCAACGCUGAUAAAGGUUACGGUUUUAUCACUACUGAAGACGGUGACGUAUUCGUUCACUUCUCAGCUAUCAACAAAGAAGGUUUCAAAACUCUAGAAGAAGGCGAAAAGGUUACAUUGGACGUUGAAGACGGCGACCGUGGACCACAAGCUGCUAACGUUACUCCUGCAUAAGGAUAACUCUUAGUUAACUUUUAGUUUAAAAAGAGAUCAAAAACACCCGAGAUUUUCUCGGGUGUUUUUUU
rnacentral:sRNA from 1 species